GGUGAUGGACAGGGAAGCCCGGCAUGCUGCAGUCCAUGGGGUCGCAGAGUCGGACACGACUAAGCAACUGAACUGAACUGAGCUGAACUGAACUGAUGUGGGUAUGUAUGGGUGGAAGUGUGUGGAUGUGUGUCUGAGUAGAUGUGGUUUGAGGGUAUGGGAGUGUAAGUAUCUGAGCAUGAAUGAGUGUGUGUGUAUGUGAUUUUAUGUGUGAUUGCAACUAUAUGUGAGAGUCUGUGUGUGACUGUGUAGCUGAAUGUGAAGGUAUGAGCAAAUGCAGGAGUGUGUGCUUUGAGGUAUAUGUGAAAGUAUAAGCGAUGGCUCUCAGUGUGUGUGAAUGUGUGUGCGUGUAUGUGAGUUGUGCAUGUGUGUAAGUGUGUGGGUAUGUGUUUGAGUGUGCCUGUGUGGCCACCGUGAGAAUGUGUGAGUUCUUGAAUGGAACGGUGGUACCACAAAGUAAAGGGCUGUGGAGCAGCAGGAGAUGGGUUUUGUGUCUCCGUUCUGUGAUGUCCUCGGUGCUGGAAUGACCUCUCUCCUAAAGAUGCUCUGUGUCCUUGGCUAAGUGAACCAGGAGUUCAGACUUGCAAGAGUGAGUAUAGGAUCUCUCCAGUCGGAUGAAGCAGACCUUGUCAGCUUAAUGCAGAUGAGAAUAUAAGGCUGCAGGAAGUGUCCUUGCCCAAGGCACAAGGCUUGCAAGUGACAAAGGCAGAGUUCCAACUCAGGCCACCUCCUCUGAGGCCUGCGCUUGGCCUGCUGCACCACUCCACCUCCUGGGAGCUCCUGUCCUGGAGCCUUUCUGUCNNNNNNNNNNNNNNNNUUUAACUGCCGCGCCUCAGUUUCCUCAUCUGCACGAAGUGGAGAAGGAUCCGCCUAGAAACGCUGGUGUGAGCCGGGCAUGUGGUUAGCAGGAGGUACACAUCUGGGCCGGGACACCCACCUGGCUGCCGUUGGCCUGUGCAGGCUCUUCAGACCGGUCCCUCAGGGAAGCUUCCAGCACAUUGCCCACAGCCUGGAGCAGGUCCCUGGUGGCCGCCUGGCGCCUCCAGUCCUCAGGGUGGGCCUUGGCACUCAUUGCCAGCAGGCCCUCACUGGCAUGCUGCAGAGCCCUGCCGGCCUCCCGCUGGCUCACCCAGAGGAGGAGGAAGAACAGCAUGAGGCCCUGCUUGGAACAGACCAUCCCCUAAACUCCUCCAGGGACCAGCACUGUGGUGAAAGGGAGCAUGUGGGAACUCAAGCCAGGGGAGAUCUGGGCCGAGCCUGUCACACAAACUGCCUGUGUCGAGGACUGGAAGCCAGGUGUUCCUUCCCUGCCAUGUGUUCAAUUCCUUCAGGACAGUAA
rnacentral:lncRNA from 1 species